UGGACUGUGUCAGGUAGGCAGUGUAUGUUACCUGAUUGCUGUACCUGAAUGUAGCAGUCAGGGCUGCACAGCCACCUGCUGCAGGGCCA
rnacentral:pre_miRNA from 1 species